rnacentral:rRNA from 1 species
AGGACGAACGCUGGCGGCGUGCCUAACACAUGCAAGUCGAACGGAGAAUUUCAAAGAGUUUACUUAGAGAAAUUUUUAGUGGCGGACGGGUGAGUAACGCGUGGGUAACCUACCCAUAAACCCGGGACAACCCUUGGAAACGAGGGCUAAUACCGGAUAAUCUUUGGACUUGGCAUCAAGUUUUAAGAAAAGGUGGCCUCUGUAUAUGCUACCGAUUAUGGAUGGACCCGCGUCUGAUUAGCUAGUUGGUGGGGUAAAGGCCUACCAAGGCGACGAUCAGUAGCCGGCCUGAGAGGGUGAACGGCCACACUGGGACUGAGACACGGCCCAGACUCCUACGGGAGGCAGCAGUGGGGAAUCUUCCGCAAUGGACGAAAGUCUGACGGAGCAACGCCGCGUGUAUGAUGAAGGUCUUCGGAUUGUAAAGUGCUGUCUUUGGGGAAGAAUGAUUGGUUUGAAAAUAUUGAGCCAAUAUGACGGUACCCAAGGAGGAAGCCCCGGCUAACUACGUGCCAGCAGCCGCGGUAAUACGUAGGGGGCAAGCGUUGUCCGGAAUUAUUGGGCGUAAAGGGCGCGUAGGCGGAUGUUUAAGUCCGGUGUGAAAGAUCAGGGCUCAACCCUGAGAGUGCAUCGGAAACUGGGCAUCUUGAGGACAGGAGAGGAAUGUGGAAUUCCUAGUGUAGCGGUGAAAUGCAUAGAUAUUAGGAGGAACACCAGUGGCGAARGCGACUUUCUGGACUGUAACUGACGCUGAGGCGCGAAAGCGUGGGGAGCAAACAGGAUUAGAUGCCCUGGUAGUCCACGCUGUAAACGAUGAGUGCUAGGUGUAGAGGGUAUCGACCCCUUCUGUGCCGCAGUUAACACAAUAAGCACUCCGCCUGGGGAGUACGGCCGCAAGGUUG